rnacentral:rRNA from 1 species
AACUAACGCUAGCGGCGUGCCUAACACAUGCAAGUCGUACGAGAAAGUCGGCUUCGGUCGGCGAGUAAAGUGGCGCACGGGUGAGUAACGCGUGGAUAAUCUACCCUUGAGUUGGGAAUAACGUGCCGAAAGGUGCGCUAAUACCGAAUAAUACUGAGUGACUAAUGUUGCUUAGUCAAAGAAGGCCUCUGCUUGCAAGCUUUCGCUGAAGGAUGAGUCCGCGUACCAUUAGCUAGUUGGUAGGGUAAUGGCCUACCAAGGCAACGAUGGUUAGCUGGUCUGAGAGGAUGAUCAGCCACACUGGAACUGAGACACGGUCCAGACUCCUACGGGAGGCAGCAGUGAGGAAUAUUGGUCAAUGGACGAGAGUCUGAACCAGCCAAGUCGCGUGAAGGAAGAAGGUCUUAUGGAUUGUAAACUUCUUUAGCAGGGGAAUAAAGGUUAUUACGAGCUAAUAAUUUGCAGGUACUCUGCGAAAAAGGAUCGGCUAACUCCGU